AUGGGGACGGCGUCCGGCGACGACGACCGCCACGUGAUGCACCAGGGCGGCGUGAACCUGUCGGCGCGGCGCCCCUUCUCGGAGGCGCUGCGGUCGGGCCUCGCCGAGACCUUCUUCCCCGACGACCCGUUCCGCGGGUUCGGCGCGCUGCCGCCCAAGGAGCGGGCGUGGGGCGCGCUCAAGUACUUCGUGCCGGCGCUGGAGUGGGUGCCCCAGUACGGCUUCGACAAGUUCAAGUUCGACCUCCUCGCCGGCAUCACCAUUGCCAGCCUCGCCAUCCCGCAGGGCAUCAGCUACGCGCGCCUCGCCAACCUCCCGCCCAUCAUCGGCCUCUAUUCCAGCUUCGUGCCGCCGCUGCUGUACGCGGUGUUCGGGAGCUCCAACAACCUGGCGGUGGGUACGGUGGCCGCGGCGUCCCUGCUGCUGGCGUCCAUCAUCGAGGACGCGGUGUCGCCCGAGGACAACCCGGAGCUCUACCUGCACCUCUUCUACACCUCCGCCUUCUUCACCGGCAUCUUCCAGACCGCCCUAGGCGUCUUCAGAUUAGGGCUGAUAGUGGAUUUCCUGUCGCGGUCGACGAUCACGGGGUUCAUGGGUGGCACGGCGAUGAUCAUCAUAAUGCAGCAGCUCAAGGGGCUUCUGGGGAUGAAGCACUUCACCUCCAAGACCGACCUCAUCUCCGUCGUAGGCUCCAUCUUCAAAUACAGACACGAGUGGAGAUGGCAGAGUGCAAUUCUCGGCGUAUGCUUCAUCUUGUUCUUGCUCUCCAGUAAGCAUCUGAAAAAGAAAAUGCCACAUCUAUUCUGGGUGUCGGCCAUUGCGCCGUUCAUGGUUGUCAUCAUCGGAGGCGUCUUUGAUUUCCUUGUCCACGGUGAUGAGCACGGCAUCCCAAUCGUUGGUGACCUCAAGAAAGGGAUCAAUCCUAUCUCCAUUUCGCAGUUGAGGUUCGAAAGCAAGCACGUAGGGAUAGUUGUGAAAGCAGGGCUCUUGUCUGGGAUCCUAGCGCUCGCAGAAGGAAUAGCUGUGGGACGAAGCUUGGCCAUGAUCAAGAACGAACAGAUCGACGGUAACAAGGAGAUGAUCGCGUUCGGCAUGAUGAACAUCGUCGGUUCUUUCACCUCCUGUUACCUCACCACAGGGCCCUUCUCCAAGUCGGCGGUGAACUUCGACGCCGGGUGCAAGACGCCCAUGUCCAACGUGGUGAUGUCGGUGUGCAUAUUGCUGGUGCUGCUGUUCCUGGCCCCUCUGUUCAAGUACACCCCGCUGGUGGCCCUCUCUUCCAUCAUUGUCGUCGCCAUGAUCGGGCUGAUCAAGGUCAAGGAGUUCAUCCGCCUCUACAGGGUCGACAAGUUCGACUUCUGCAUCUGCAUGGUCGCUUUCGUGGGCGUCGUCUUCUUCACCAUGGUCAUAGGCCUUAGCGCAUCAGUCGGCUUGUCUGUACUCAGGGCAUUGCUGUACGUGGCUCGGCCGGCAACCGUCAAGCUCGGAAACAUAACGGGGACCGAGGUCUUCCGCGACGUAAAGCAGUACCCGCAUGCCAAGAGCGUCCCCAACAUCCUCGUCUUGCAGCUGGGCUCUCCUAUAUAUUUCGUCAACGCGGGCUACUUGCGAGAGAGGAUUUUGAGAUGGGUUGAAGACGAGGAGCACAUUUGCAAGGGACACGGGCAGGACUUGGAAUGCCUGGUUCUUGAUCUUGGUGGCGUGACUUCAAUCGACAACACCGGGAUCGGGAUGCUAGGAGAGGUUCACAAGGGCCUGGACCGGAAGGGCAUCACUAUAGCUCUGGCGAAUCCCAGGCUGCAGGUGACGGAGAAGCUGGUGGUGUCGGGGUACAUCAAGGACACCAUCGGGGAGGAGAGCGUGUUCCUGACCAUCACGGACGCCAUCGCGUCGUGCCGGUACGGGCUGCGGAGGUUCAGAGGCAAGGAGGGGUGCAGCGAAGUAUAG
rnacentral:rRNA from 1 species